GGGGGCUGUGUGUGUGUGUGUGUGUGUGUGUGUGUGUGUGUGUGUGUGUGUUGCGUGUGCACACACGUGCGCGCGCACGACACACACUCA
rnacentral:miRNA from 1 species